rnacentral:rRNA from 1 species
GACGAACGCUGGCGGCGUGCUUAACACAUGCAAGUCGAACGAUGAAGCCGGAGCUUGCUCUGGUGAAUUAGUGGCGAACGGGUGAGUAACACGUGAGUGACCUGCCCUUGACCCUGGGAUAACUGCUAGAAAUGGUAGCUAAUACCGGAUACGACCCUCGGAGGCAUCUCCAGGGGGUGGAAAGAAUUUCGGUCAAGGAUGGACUCGCGGCCUAUCAGCUAGUUGGUGAGGUAACGGCUCACCAAGGCGACGACGGGUAGCCGGCCUGAGAGGGUGACCGGCCACACUGGGACUGAGACACGGCCCAGACUCCUACGGGAGGCAGCAGUGGGGAAUAUUGCACAAUGGGCGCAAGCCUGAUGCAGCAACGCCGCGUGAGGGAUGACGGCCUUCGGGUUGUAAACCUCUUUUAGUAGGGAAGAAGCGAAAGUGACGGUACCUGCAGAAAAAGCACCGGCUAACUACGUGCCAGCCGCCGCAGUAA